AAAGCGUGCGCAGGCGGUUUUGUAAGUCUGUCGUGAAAGCCCCGGGCUCAACCUGGGAAUUGCGAUGGAGACUGCAAGGCUUGAAUCUGGCAGAGGGGGGUAGAAUUCCACGUGUAGCAGUGAAAUGCGUAGAGAUGUGGAGGAACACCGAUGGCGAAGGCAGCCCCCUGGGUCAAGAUUGACGCUCAUGCACGAAAGCGUGGGGAGCAAACAGGAUUAGAUACCCUAGU
rnacentral:rRNA from 1 species